AUUAUAGAUGCAUCACCUCAGCCUUGAGUCUCCAGAUAGAUCAAGCAUCGCUCUUGAAAUCUCAAUUCACCCAUCAAUGCUAUCUGGUUGGGAGAAACUGCAUGAAAAACCAACUUUCUCUCCACAUGCUCACAAGAGAGCGGAGCUCAGUCAACGCAGAUAUUUUAGUCUAUGAAGACAAGAUGUAUAGCCAGCUGUCAACUCUGAGAACGCAACAUAUGAAGGAUGGUGAAUGUGCUCCUUCCCGGGCUUAAUCUCAUCACUGCUUCCCUCUGGAAGGAUGGCUCAGGUCACACAGGUUUGACCCAGACUGCUGCUCUGCAGGUUCCCAGUAACUCGCAGGUUAAGCCAGCCAAUAAAUCAACCAUCUAACCAGGGCUUCAUCACCUUACACCCUGGGCUCUCAGAGUUUUUCAGCCAUCUGAUAUUUCCUUAAUGGGAUUACUCUGAUGGACACAGAAUUUCUGGACUCUGUCAUUAUAAAAAGGACUACUUCCAACAAUAUUUAUGAGAUCAAAUUCCUCAUAUUUCCUCCCAAUAUUCAAACUUUUGCAUCCUAAAUUCUCC
rnacentral:lncRNA from 1 species